rnacentral:rRNA from 1 species
AUGGCUCGCGGCGAUCAUCAAAACGAUGAUGAUGAUUUCAUGGAUCCACCACAGCGGAAUCGGGCAACUGGACGGAGAAAAGAGGGCGACGAGAAGAAGAAAUGUACUCGCAAUAGGGCCUCCCAGGAACGACUGACUUCAUUGACUGACAGAUUUACCGACAAUCAGAAGGGAGCUGCUGCUGAAAUGGGUAUGCAGGCUAUGAUGAAUGUCCGGUGCACGAAUCUAGUCAACCCUGUAUGUGACUGGCUUGGUGAGAUUUACGACCCCGCCUUCAGGGAAUUUGUGAUUUCAGGACGUGGAAGACUGCCGUUGAAUAAGGAAUCCGUGUUCUGCACUUUGGGUGUGCCCCGUGGACAAAUCAAAGUCCCGUAUGAGGUCAAUAACAAGAUCGAGGAAAUGUUGUUCCCCUGUUUGUUUCCUGGGUUGGAAUCCAUGUCGAACACGUCUGUACUGGCAGAUUCGCUGCAGGCCAUGACAACCCAUGGCGAGGUUUUUAAGAUGAAUCUACUCAUGUACCUCAUCUCAGCUAUUUUCGCGCCGACCACUUCUCUUCGCCCAAGCAACAAAUGCUUCCCCAUCCCGGCGAAACUGAAAGAUGUGAAGAACAUGAAUUGGUGUAAGUUCAUUGCCGACUUCCUGCCUGAUGCAUUCUCAAGCAAGAUGUACCAGAAGGGUUGUCGACUGCAUUUAAGGCUCAUGUACGUCGACUGUCUUGAUCUGUCCACCGUGGAUUUCACUGGGACAAGAGGCCCACCGCCUACGCACAAGUUUGUUGUUUCUGCGUGGACCAUCGAUGCUGUCAAGGCUGUGCUUGCUGCAGACAGGAUAACUGAUACCAAAUAUGGAAAACUGCAGCUGAUGGCCAAGCAUGCUAUAGACUACAGCGUGUUUGGGGGGCCUCAAAACUUUGGAAAGUGGAUGGACGUGCACUCAGCUCCGUCUUGCCCUACUGAGGCGAGGGCACCUGUUGAGCAUCUAAUUGGGCAGUUUGCAUCCGGAAUGACCGGCUUGCUCGGGAAGUUGGUCGAGGGUUCCCAAGAGCUUGCUGACACACAAGAUGAACUAGAUGGAGACGCUGAUCUCAGCAAGGAUGAUGACGAUGACAUGGAAAACGUGCAACAGGACACCGAUGAUGAUGAACAUGUUGAAGUUCGUGCAGGUGGUAAGAAGGGCAAGGAUGCAUGA